rnacentral:rRNA from 1 species
GUUGACCUCGGAUCAGGUUAGGAAUUAAAACACACA